UACGUAGGUGGCAAGCGUUGUCCGGAUUUAUUGGGUUUAAAGGGUGCGUAGGUGGCCCCGUAAGUCAGUGGUGAAAUCUCUCAGCUUAACUGAGAGGGUGCCAUUGAUACUGCGGGGCUUGAGUACAGAUGAGGUAGGCGGAAUUGACGGUGUAGCGGUGAAAUGCAUAGAUAUCGUCAAGAACACCGAUAGCGAAGGCAGCUUACCAAGCUGUAACUGACACUGAGGCACGAAAGUGUGGGGAUCAAACAGG
rnacentral:rRNA from 1 species